rnacentral:rRNA from 1 species
CCUAACACAUGCAAGUCGAACGGUAACAGGAAGCAGCUUGCUGCUUCGCUGACGAGUGGCGGACGGGUGAGUAAUGUCUGGGAAGCUGCCUGAUGGAGGGGGAUAACUACUGGAAACGGUAGCUAAUACCGCAUAAUGUCGCAAGACCAAAGAGGGGGACCUUCGGGCCUCUUGCCAUCGGAUGUGCCCAGAUGGGAUUAGCUUGUUGGUGGGGUAACGGCUCACCAAGGCGACGAUCCCUAGCUGGUCUGAGAGGAUGACCAGCCACACUGGAACUGAGACACGGUCCAGACUCCUACGGGAGGCAGCAGUGGGGAAUAUUGCACAAUGGGCGCAAGCCUGAUGCAGCCAUGCCGCGUGUAUGAAGAAGGCCUUCGGGUUGUAAAGUACUUUCAGCGGGGAGGAAGGGAGUAAAGUUAAUACCUUUGCUCAUUGACGUUACCCGCAGAAGAAGCACCGGCUAACUCCGUGCCAGCAGCCGCGGUAAUACGGAGGGUGCGAGCGUUAAUCGAAAUUACUGGGCGUAAAG